rnacentral:lncRNA from 1 species
CUUUCGCCCGAGGCGGGCUGCGGGCUGCUGGGGUCUGGUGCGGAGGGCCAACUUCUGGGAAUAACCUGGCUGUGGGCUUAAAAAUCGUAGUCAUUCAUUAUCACGGGCUUCUCUCUCUCGAAUACCUUUAACAUUUAUCGCCUUGUUAGUCUCCACAUCCACCUCCGUGAAAGAGAUGGAGUCUCGCUAUAUUUCCCAGUCUGGCCUCAAACUCCUGAUCUUAAGGGAUCCCCAGCUCAACCUCUCCCAGCAGCUGGGACUACCGGGCUGUCAAAUUUACAUUAACUAUGAGAAUUAAGCAGGAAUUCUCAAGGGUCUCUUUGGAGGCUUACCAAGGACAUCCAGCUGCACAGUGAAGGUGGCUUCUCCUGCUCUAUUCUUGGCAACACAUGCAUAAGCCCCUGCAUCUGAAGCUCUGACUACUUCAAAGAUGAGUGAAUGAAGACCCUUCUCAGACACUAUCAUUUUGUGCAAAUCAUCUGAUUGAACUGUUCUUCCAUUUAGAUACCAUGACACAUCAGGAGCUGGCAGUCCACUCACCUAGAAAGAAAAACACAAGGAGAUGGCAGAAUUUUAAAGUAUUGCAUCACUGAAACCUAUUUGUCCAUAUAUGAAUUUAAACAGUUCCCGUAUCUGAGUGGGUUUGCGAUUGAAAUGCAAAGCAAGAGCUCAAAAGUAUUUAUAAUUUUUUAAACAAAACAUUGGAAAUAAGAUCCUUGAAAUUAACAUAGUAUUUUUAGACUGUCUCAAACCAUAACUCUUUUACAUGCAACCUCAGUCUCUUUAUGAACUCUUAAUUUCUAUAUUUAGAACAUUAAUUUAUGUUACAUUGGUUUCCAUAAGGAAUAUAGAAGUCAUUGCUUUUCUGGCUAAAUGUGACUGCAAAUGAAGUCCCAGAGGCACAUAUAUAUGAGGCUUCCUGAUCUAAUGCGUAAUUUUUCUAAAACAGAGUGUUCUUGAGCUAUAGUUUGGCAUAUAAAUGGCAAUUUGUUAAGUGUUUUUACAUAAACUGUUAACAGUGGAAUCCAAAGCUUUAACACUAACUUGAGUUCAUAAGGAAUCUGGAAAAAAAAUUUUAUAAGGAAAAGUUCUCCAAAAUAAGGAUAAUAAAAAUAUAACCUCUUCUAAAGA